UUCAAGAGCUACCGUGCUCUCUUGCCCCACUUAGCUAAGCAGGGUUGAGCCUGGCCAGUACCUGGAUAGGAGACCUGCUGGGGGAAACUAAGGUUGCUGCUGGAA
rnacentral:rRNA from 1 species